rnacentral:rRNA from 1 species
CCUACGGGAGGCAGCAGUGAGGAAUAUUGGUCAAUGGGCGUAAGCCUGAACCAGCCAAGUCGCGUGCAGGAUGACGGCUCUAUGGAUUGUAAACUGCUUUUAUGCGGGGAUAAAGUGUGUGACGUGUCCUGUUUUGUAUGUACCUUAUGAAUAAGGAUCGGCUAACUCCGUGCCAGCAGCCGCGGUAAUACGGAGGCUCCGAGCGUUAUCCGGAUUUAUUGGGUUUAAAGGGAGCGUAGGCUGCAUGUUAAGUGAGCCGUGAAAUGCCGUGGCUCAACCAUGGCAUUGCCGUGUAAACUGGGGUGCUUGAGUACGCGGGAGGUAUGCGGAAUUCGUGGUGUAGCGGUGAAAUGCUUAGAUAUCACGAAGAACUCCGAUUGCGAAGGCAGCAUACGGCAGCGCUACUGACGCUGAAGCACGAAGGCGCGGGGAUCGAACAGGAUUAGAUACCCUUGUAGUC